AAGACAACGUGCCAGUACAAACGCUUUGCAACGUACUCUGAAGAAAUGUUUUUUCUAAGUCUCCGAUUGAGGUGCCAAGUAAGAAUUGUCGAAGAGUUCAAAAGCAGUGAUCGGUCAGGGAGUCGAACAAUGAUAAGAUGGCUUCCAUCUUCAUCGCACAAAUAGAGGAAUAAAUUUUAAGAUCACUACCACGGGUAUCAUAUUUUCUUGUCGUAUUGAGGCACAAUCGAACUUGUAACUGCACCGAGGAAACCUGUCAGGUCCAAGUUCACAAGUUGCUUCAAAAUCGCAAUGUAUAUCUUUGCACAUCUCUUGAGCACUAGUUACUUCCGUAACUGCAGUCGACAGCCGAGUUGCUGAAGGUGUAGACAUUGUUGCUGUGGAUGCGAGGGUUAGUUAAUGUCAUAACAUUAAGUUUGAAGUAUACUGAAGAAAAGUCCAUUUUCAGAGUUUUUCUGGCUGACCAAUUAAUUUUACGACUUAAACACAAGAGACUUUUUUUGAAGAAAAUUUAAUUCUCUACAAUAUUGUCCAUGACCAUUUUUACUGUAUCUUUAAUAGUUUUUAUUAAAUUUGCAUUUUACAAAUUUAGAAUGUUAAAAUUUGUUUAUAACCAGCGAAAAAUUGAAUAAAUAAAAAAAAAA